CAGAAGGUUGGGAUGGUGUGAGAAGAAUCCAGACCCCGUGAUGGGGUCACACGGGUCGGCUGGGCAUAGCGGCCGUCCUUUGCAACGCGAGAACCUGCAGUGCAAGCUGCUUCCCUUAUAAGCUAGUUGAAAGCUUGGUUGCUAAAGCAUUGACUGAACACCGUACCAGAAUCUCCACCUUGGCCUUUCUAACCAGCGAGGAAGAAAAGAACGUGGCGAUCUCUUGACCACCUUUACCUGGCCUUGAAAGCUGGCUGCCACAGUGUGCAGAAGGUCACCAGAACAGAGGGAAUGUGCCACAGGUGCCAGCAUCAAGCCUCCUAACGAAGCCUUGGGCCCACACCCGUGGGUUUUAAGCAAGCAUUUUACACGUGCAAUUGAGUUUAUUUGCUGCAGAAGUGGAGGGAGCUGUACAACACGUGUGUUCCCUGCACCACUGCCCCAUGUCACACUGCUGGGAGAUGUGACGCCAGAGAGUGCAGCCUGUGUAGGCUGCAAGUCCUGGGGCUGAAUUAGCACUGUAAGCCUGCACAGAAGUGAGCGCAGAGAGGUGGUCCUGCUCUGUACAAACACCUGGGCAAAAUACCGUUCCCAAAUCUAACCCACACACAUAGACACACUCAUUCUUAAAGCAGCCACCACUUUAAAGUGACACCACUCUCUCACAUCCGUCCCCGCACGUCUCUUUCGGCGGACGGAUGCUGCUGACCGAAUACAGGUUUCCCCACCGAGGGGCCCCUGUAGCUUGGCAUUCUCACUGCAUUUGGACUCUGUGUACUUAGUUGGAGAAAGGGUCAGGAUUUCAUACUGAGGAGUGAUAUUACCAUCUUCCAUGGCUACAUGCAGACCAGAGAGAUCUUCAGCUACCUCUAAUUGGAUCAGCCUCCCUAGAAGAUAUGUUAACAUUGACCUCCCACAAGGACCAUGUUUUUUCCCAUUGGGAUUUUUUUUUCAGUCAGAAAGAACCCCCUCAAAGUCUGAUACACAAUAGUUUUUCCUACUUUUUUCUUGAUUUCCUUCAGGUUGUGUACUCUCUCAAAUGCAGAAUGAUAUAGUACAGAAAGGCCUGCUUUGCUGUACAUCUUUCUAUCAAUUAUCGGCCUUGAAUGUAGAGGAAAAUAGGUGAUCCCAAUUUGAGAUGUCAAUUCCUGCACCAAAUAAAAUAGCUGUUUAUUUGUGUUUCUAAUUACCACUCAUCCUCUGCUCAUAAAUCCUUAAAUAAUUCAGGAACAGGUCAUGAAGGCCCUAAAAUGAAAAAUGCCCAUUUCUGGCUUGGGACUGCAUGCCUUUCUUGUGACUGCCCUAACACAUAGGUAUAUACAUGUGUAUCUGUCAACAUUAAAGCCAGCUAGCAACUCAUCACAACAUAUAUCUAAACAGAAACAUAAAUACAGUUAAAUAUUUUUUUAAAAUCUAUAAACAGUCAGAGAUAACCAGUGGGAUGCCUACCUGCCAGCUGAUUUGCCCCAGUGCCCCUAAUAAUGGAUUACUGCAAACUAACUUCAAAGAGGAAUGAUGGAGUGACAGAUCAGUUAGGUUUCAAAUUAGAACAAGCAUACCUUCUUCAAACAGUGCUUGACACAAAAGAAAACAGUGAAGUGUAAUGCUGCAGGUUAAUAAAAUUAAAAGACAGCAGCUGUAUCUGCUGCCUUGCAGAGAGGCAAGAUACUGCUCCCUGCUGAAAGAAACUGCAUUGGAGCCUUAGCAUAAGAAUAACCAUGUUGUCUGAGGAGAAAAGAAGCCAUAGUGAGUUUACUUCAUCUACUCAUACUGGUGUGUGAGCAUAUUGUUACAACAGAAAUGUACACUGAAGCAGAGUAGGCUAUCUAUCUGAGUUUACAUAGCCUAACUUAACUACCACAAAACUAAGAAAAAGAUCUUUUUCAUGCAAAAUUCAUACCUCUUCCAUCAUUACAGAUACAAUUAUAACAAAACUAAUGCACAGGAUGAGUUAUAACACAAACGCAAGAGAAAAGUGUCCUGGAAGAGAACCACCAGGAGAAAGAGAAAAAAAUUAGACGUGUACAAGAAUAUGAGAAGCUUGGACAAGAUGCUGUUUUUUGGAGAUUUUCUAAUGUAAAUGUCAUUCAGAUGAAGGCCCAUGCUCGCUGGAAUGUUCAGCUGUUUUGCACUUCUUCAAAUAAGCAAAACAGCUGUAAACCUAGCUUAACUUUCCAAUUAAGCUGAAUUUAUGGCAUCCUUACUAUACCAGCGCAGAACAAAGCAGCUGGAAACAACAAGUAACUCUGAUCCUAGCAAUCCCUUUUUAGGGCUUUUUUUGGCAUUCUUUAGUCAGGCAAAACUUCGCCAGUUUGCCUAAGAUUAGAUUUAGAGGCCUCUGAAGAUUAAACAAAAUUAUACCAUAGAACACGUGUUCAUAAAUGCAUAGACAUUAGAUAUUUCAGUGCAACAUAUUUUGAGAAGAUUAACCUAAUUUAGUAGCCUAGUGAACUCAGAACUCUCAUCAAUUUCUGUAAUUACCGGGAUUACAUCUUCGUUAAUUUUACCUUUUUUUUUUUGUUUUAAAAACAAAGUAAAUUGGCUUUUCUUUCCAAAUUAAAUUUAAUAAUUACAUUCUGGCACAGUUCUUACAUUUGUGAGUUGUAUGUGUGGAUGGCAAGUCUCCUUUUACCCUUAGCUACAGGAGUCCUGAUGCAUGGUCCUGAAAUACUCGUAUUUUAUAAAAGAAGCCACUGAUCUCAGUAUAUUGACGUAUUGACGUACACUUCAAUUCCAUACAGUUUAUCUUUAUGAUUGUAAGUAUAGAGGAUAAUUUGAAAUAACUUUUACUCUUUUUUUUUUUUUUUUUUUUUUUUUUUUUUUUUUUUUUUU